rnacentral:misc_RNA from 1 species
AAGUCGUAACAAGGUUUCCGUAGGUGAACCUGCGGAAGGAUCAUUAUUGAAUGAACUUGGCGUGGUUGUCGCUGGCCCUCUCGGGGGUAUGUGCACGCCCGUCAUCUUUAUCUUUCCACCUGUGCACACUUUGUAGACUUGAAUAGUAUUUUCUGAGGCAACUCAGUCGGGAGGAUUGCUGGUAUUUAUCAGCUCUCCUUGGAUUAUUCAAGCCUAUGUUUUUCAUAUACCCCAAAAAUGUAACAGAAUGUAUCAUUGGGCCUUGUGCCUAUAAACUAUAUACAACUUUCAGCAACGGAUCUCUUGGCUCUC